rnacentral:rRNA from 1 species
AUGUGGUUGUCUCGCCGCCGGGGAAGAUCCGCCUUGCCCGCCUGCCGAAUUAUUCAAGAGGCACAAGAGGGGAGCUGCGACCGGGGUUGGCAGCGGCGGCUGGGGUUGCCGCGGGGGGUGAGGAACCGGCGAGUAGGGCACAAGCAGGGCCAGGGACGCGAGCAGGGCUGCGAGGAGGAGGCGCCCGUCGAGGUGGUCGCCUUCGAGGAGCAGCCUCAGCUGGGCGGCAGGGCAGCUCGCCUCCGUGCAGGCGGCCCACGUUCGCAGCGGCGGAGCAACCGCAGGUGGGCGACGGCGCAGGUGGUCGCCCGCUCUUUCUACGGCGGCUGCCGGCGGUGGCUACGACGGCCGCUUGGUCGAAGGAGGAAGAAGCAUAGGUGA